UGCAGUCGAGCGGACAGAAGGGAGCUUGCUCCCGGAUGUUAGCGGCGGACGGGUGAGUAACACGUGGGUAACCUGCCUGUAAGACUGGGAUAACUCCGGGAAACCGGAGCUAAUACCGGAUAGUUCCUUGAACCGCAUGGUUCAAGGAUGAAAGACGGUUUCGGCUGUCACUUACAGAUGGACCCGCGGCGCAUUAGCUAGUUGGUGGGGUAAUGGCUCACCAAGGCGACGAUGCGUAGCCGACCUGAGAGGGUGAUCGGCCACACUGGGACUGAGACACGGCCCAGACUCCUACGGGAGGCAGCAGUAGGGAAUCUUCCGCAAUGGACGAAAGUCUGACGGAGCAACGCCGCGUGAGUGAUGAAGGUUUUCGGAUCGUAAAGCUCUGUUGUUAGGGAAGAACAAGUGCGAGAGUAACUGCUCGCACCUUGACGGUACCUAACCAGAAAGCCACGGCUAACUACGUGCCAGCAGCCGCGGUAAUACGUAGGUGGCAAGCGUUGUCCG
rnacentral:rRNA from 1 species